GAGGGUAUAGUUCAAGUGAUAGAGUGCAUGCUUAGCAUGCAGAAGGUCCUGGGUUCAAUCCCCAGUACCUCCU
rnacentral:tRNA from 1 species